rnacentral:rRNA from 1 species
UACGUAGGUGGCAAGCGUUAUCCGGAAUUAUUGGGCGUAAAGCGCGCGCAGGCGGUUUCUUAAGUCUGAUGUGAAAGCCCACGGCUCAACCGUGGAGGGUCAUUGGAAGCUGGGGAACUUGAGUGCAGAAGAGAAAGCGGAAUUCCACGUGUAGCGGUGAAAUGCGUAGAGAUGUGGAGGAACACCAGUGGCGAAGGCGGCUGCCUGGGCCUGGCCGACGCUGAGGCGCGAAAGCGUGGGAGCGAUCCGG